UCCCUCCCGAAGCUGCGCAUGCUCGGUUGUUUGAAGAGAAGGAACUUCCCUGAAUACAGGAGGGCCGGUCUGCCUUCAAGGGUCAAGGGUAUAGAGCAGCUGCGCUCUCCUGCUAGAACCUCCAAACAGCCUUGUUAUCUUCAGAAAUGUCUUCCGCGCAUUCCCUGCUUGGUAUUCACUGAUGACUUAGGGGUGCUGGGGC
rnacentral:sRNA from 1 species